CCUCAAUUAGCCAGACAUAAAUAAACUGAAAUUACUGUAUUUAUUGAAAAGGAAUCAAAUGGGACACUAGAGCGUGUGAAAGUAGAUUCAAUUCAACACACCGUAAAAACACGCAUUCUUAAUAGGCACAGCUAACUGGUUGGUACUGGCAGCAUUGAAUUUCAAUCGUGUGAUUUGGACAUAAACCUACAACAUAUUUGUACUUGCUUAGUUUCUUCCAUGUUUAGGUUGUGUGA
rnacentral:lncRNA from 1 species